rnacentral:siRNA from 1 species
GUAAUUUGGAACAAGGACCUAACU